AAGGAGACUAUGUGCAAGAAUGGCAGAGAUUGGAGCCAAGGAGUGCCUGGGCCUACCAGAGGCUGCAAGAGACAGGGAGGACCCUCCCCUAGAGCCUCCAGAGGGAACAGAGCCAUGCCCACACCUUGACUUUGGACUCCUGGCCUCCAGAACUGUGAGAGGACCUAGGACCCCACGAGAGGAGGGAUCUGGAGGCCAAGCCAGGAGCAGGACAACACCAACAGAGGCCUCAGAAGAAGACUCAGAGUGGGACAGGGGCUCCUUAAGUGAUUGGGGCUGGAAGUGCGCAGAGAAGCCCGGCGCGGCAGGGAAUUGUCUCUCCCUGGGGUGCUGCCAAGAUGAAGAAACUGAGGUUUAGAGCAGCCGCUUGCCCAGCGUAGACAGCGAGAAGGACAGGUCCAGUUCUGCUUGAUGAUGAAGCCUGUGUCUUCUCUGCUGUGUGAUCCUAAUCACGUUGGGAGGUUCCUGAGGAAGCAGAGGAUUUUGCCCUUGCAUUUGAGCCACAGCAGCUCUAUGGAACAGAAGGCGCCGGCGAGAGGCCCUCCUUGUCAGCGCCAGGGACAGAUUGCUCAAGAAUCUGCGUGCUCCAAGGCACAAGAGGGGUGCUGUCUCCUUUUCUGGAGUUCCGUCUCAUGCCUACGUUUCGGCCAAGCACCAAAGGCGAUGCUGGCAAGCGGGAGACGGUCCACAGCCACUC
rnacentral:lncRNA from 10 species